CGGCCCAGACUCCUACGGGAGGCAGCAGUGGGGAAUAUUGCACAAUGGGCGAAAGCCUGAUGCAGCGACGCCGCGUGCGGGAUGAAGGCCUUCGGGUUGUAAACCGCUUUUAAUUGGGAGCAAGCGAAAGUGAGUGUACCUUUUGAAUAAGCACCGGCUAACUACGUGCCAGCAGCCGCGGUAA
rnacentral:rRNA from 1 species